UUUUUCUUAUCAAUAAAAAGUCACAUCCUUGCGAUCUAGAUUAGUCAUUUUAUUGAGAUUACAGUCAAUUUGAUUUCUUCAUUUUUAGUUUUAUCUUAAAUUUUAAAACGUAGAGAUAUUUUUCACUUAUACCGACAUCAUCAUGAGUUUAGUAUCUAAAUUAAUCGGCAGGAAGUAUAUUUCCCAAACAGCCCAAUAUAUUCCAAGUGCUGGUUUUUAUGGAGUCACUGGAUUUACUAUGCUAUGUUAUUUCACAGAUUGGAAAUUAGUGUUACAAUAUGUACCCUUUUAUAAUACUAAAUUCCCAAAGGUAGAAGAAGAAGAAGAAUAGAAACAUAAGAAUACAAUUUAAUAUGAUCACUAAUUAGUAAUAUAAACGGUUGAAAAAUCUUCUGUCAAAAUAAAUUUUUUUUUUUUUAGGUAAUAUAUUAUUAAAUCAAUAAACAAAUUGAAACUGUUAA